rnacentral:rRNA from 1 species
GGGGCAUGCGAGGGCUGUCGCUGACUCAAAGUCGUGCACGCCCGAGUGUGUCGCCUCACAUAAUAAUCCAUCUCACCCUUUGUGCAUCACCGCGUGGGCACCCCUUUGGGAUCAUCUCGGAGGGGGCUCGCGUUUUCACACAAAACCCCCCUUUUAAAAGUGUAGAAUGACCUCAUUUAUGCGCUAACCCGCAAUCAAUACAACUUUCAACAACGGAUCUCUUGGCUCUCGCAUCGAUGAAGAACGCAGCGAAAUGCGAUACGUAAUGUGAAUUGCAGAAUUCAGUGAAUCAUCGAAUCUUUGAACGCACCUUGCGCCCCCUGGUAUUCCGAGGGGCACACCCGUUUGAGUGUCGUGAAAACCUCAACCUCCUUGGUUUCUUCUGGAGACCAAAGCAGGCUUGGACUUUGGAGGCCUUUGCUGGCACCUCUCGCCAGCUCCUCUUAAAUGAAUUAGCAGGGUCCUCUUUGCUGAUCCUCGACGUGUGAUAAGAUGUUUCCAUGUCUUGGUUUCUGGCUCUGUCACCUUUGGGACCCGCUUCUAACCGUCUUCAACCUUGCGUUGAGACAACGUUCGAGCAUGUCUCCCUUCUCGGGAAGCUNCCUCGACCCACGACCCUUGA